CUGACAGUCAAGUCAGCUUGCCGCACAAACCCAUGUUCUGAUUGUCCCGUUGAGAAUGAGGCUCCCCGUCAGGCGGUGCGUCAGGAGAUGAGUUCAAGCUCCUGAUUUGGAAGCCAGGUCUCCCCUCUGUCUCAUCAGCGGGAAGUGUGGAAAGGAGGGGAGAGGGAGCUCUUCCCCUUUGUGUGAGGCAGCUGAUCUGGAAACCCCACGAAGGGCCCCCGGCCAGCACACCCUCUUCUCUUGUGUCAUCUGCAGGCUCUGUCCUUCCUCCACAAACGCCAGGACGGCGCCGGCUGCAGGGGCUGAGCCAUGUCCCUCCAUCCCACCGGCCUCCUGGGCCUCGUGCUCCUUCUGGGCCAACGAUCUGCGCACAGGAGGCCCUCAGCUCGGCUGAUCCGCACCUGACCUCUGACGUCCCAGAGGCGGGCAGCCCUGCCUCCCGCCGGCCCCGCGAUGCCCACGCUCGCCCGAGGGCACGUCGCACGCUUGUACCCGUGGACUCGCACACUUUCAGCCCCAGGACGGCAGGGACCCGGGGGUGUUUCUCGUAUCUGAAGCCAGCGGCGCAGGGAGGCACCUGCACGUGGAUGGACGGGAACUGAGACGUGGCUGAAGGAGACAACGAGUGAAUGAAGGAGAGAGUGGGCGAAUGGGCGGCUCUCCAGCCCCCUGCCCCUACCGGGGGUUUUGCUGACUGCGAGGCCAAGUUCCUGUUUCAGGGCUUCAGACCCUCUCCCCCCCCCGCCUCUGGCCUGGUUGAGACAGAUGGCGUUUCCAGAGCCUCAGUCACAGGAAACGGGAACAAGCUGAGACGAGGGUAGAAAAUACAGAGAGAACCCAGGGAUGGCUGCUGGCUGCCCUGAGGACUCGCUCUGGAGACGGGGCUCCUCAGCUGCUGGGGUCUGUGCUCCGCUCCUCCUCACCCCCUGCCCGCACUUCAGCUGCGGCUUUGCAGCCUGAGCCCCACACCCCUCACGGUGCCCCCCACCCCAGGACUGGCAGCUGCCCUCCAGACCCAGCCCGGGUCAUUCCUGCCACCCGGCCUCCUGCUUCCUUGUCCCAGGAGCAACCCUGUCAUUCCUGUCCUGUGCGGCCCUCCCGGCCCUCGCUGUCCCCCUAGAGUGGCCAUGGGCUGGGAGGGAGCCACCCCCCUGGGCAGACAUGCCUGGGACCCAGCCUGCUCUCACCCCUCCCAUGUCACCCUGAGCAAGAUGUGACCAAGUCUUGGUCCUUAAGUCAAGUGAGGGAAGUAACUCUGCAGUGAUGGGAAUUCAUGUGCUCAUAGAAUGGGCAUGGGGGGGGGUCUUUUGUGGAGGAUGAUGGAAAUGUUAUAGAAUUGGGUUGUGGUGAUGGUGGUUGCACAGCUUUGCAAGGUUCCUUAAAAAAAAAAAAAGUGUUGAGCCUGAAACAGCAGGAUCCCGAGGCCCACCAGGAUCAAGGCAGCCACGCCCAUUCGGAUGAGAUUCCCCACUGUGUAGUCCUGGGGGCGUGAGCCUAGGGAUUGCGCACAAAGAGGCCACUGAAGUCAGAGCAGAUCAGAAUCACCCCACCAUCCUGGAUGUCCACCCAGGGCACCCGCCUCCCCUUGCCAGGACGUGACCCUCGGAGCCCAGCCCCGUAGCUGAGAAUUUCUCUGCUCACCACUUGUGGGGGCUGACGUGUUUUGUGAUGGGUGGGUGGUGUCAGCUGCUCCUGAGAAUCACACAGUGGGGGUGAGUGAGGAGUCGGGGAGACACAGCCCUUGUCCUGGGGUCUGUGUUGCGGUGCCCCCAGUUCUCACAGCACAACUGUUACACGGCCCUGUAACGCGCCCUGUCUCUGCCCGGCCAGGCUCCCUCUGUGCUCCUUUCAUCCAUUUAUUCUUUUAUUAAAUUAUUCUUCAUGCAGUUAGAUAUAUUAGAGUGAGACAUACACACACUCUUGCAAAUACCUAUUUUCUACAAGUGGUGUAACAGCAACAGGUUCUAAAAGGCUUAUUCCUGCCUUCUUGGGGGAUGAAAUACAUGGGAGACCACAACCAACAUGGCAACAUACGAGAUGGAAGAUACAGAGUUUGGACAUAUCUGUAGAUGUUGAAGUGGAGGAAUAAGUGUGGUGUUUAUAUAUGAGGUAUAUACUUACCUGUAGAUAAAAGAUACAUAUUUACGUGCAUUUUUAUUAAAAUGUGUUACAUUGUAUAUAUUACAUGCAACACAUAAGUACACAUGUAUCCAUGAAACACUGAAGUUACACGUCAACGUGUGCAUCUGUAUUAGCUGGACCCACGUAUAGACUACAUACGUGUGUGUGUCUCUAUAUGGCAGACACGCAGGUGAGACAGGGAGGAAACUAAUGCGUAUAGAGCUGGGCGGUCAAUUCCUUGAAAUAAACAGGUGGUAAGGAGGCAGGUCUCCAGAAAGGUCUCAGUCUGCUCUUCAGUAAGGAACCAGGCCACGCCUGUGGGGUUUAGAGAGGGGGACAGAGGAGAAGGGGGCUGACAUUCGGCACUGAGCGUAUUUGAGACACAACAGGGUUUACAGGACAGAGGAGGGAGGCCCCCAUCAUCG
ensembl:lncRNA